rnacentral:rRNA from 1 species
GAUGAACGCUGGCGGCGUGCCUAAUACAUGCAAGUCGAGCGAACAGAUAAGGAGCUUGCUCCUUUGACGUUAGCGGCGGACGGGUGAGUAACACGUGGGUAACCUACCUAUAAGACUGGGAUAACUUCGGGAAACCGGAGCUAAUACCGGAUAACAUUUGGAACCGCAUGGUUCUAAAGUGAAAGAUGGUUUUGCUAUCACUUAUAGAUGGACCCGCGCCGUAUUAACUAGUUGGUAAGGUAACGGCUUACCAAGGCGACGAUACGUAGCCGACCUGAGAGGGUGAUCGGCCACACUGGAACUGAGACACGGUCCAGACUCCUACGGGAGGCAGCAGUAGGGAAUCUUCCGCAAUGGGCGAAAGCCUGACGGAGCAACGCCGCGUGAGUGAUGAAGGGUUUCGGCUCGUAAAACUCUGUUAUUAGGGAAGAACAAACGUGUAAGUAACUGUGCACGUCUUGACGGUACCUAAUCAGAAAGCCACGGCUAACUACGUG